GACCAUGCUGCUCUGCUUCCCUUCUCUCUCUGCCUCUAGGCAGCUUCUUGCUUCAUGGUUAAAUGUCCCUGAGCAAGGAGCCUGGGCCAAUCCUGCUGGGGCUGGACCUGGAGGCCCGCCCCAGGGAGGAGGGACUGAGCCCUGGCCCAGAUGCAAGGCGGCCUGAAUCGCCGGUCUUGAGACGUGUCUGUGAGUGCAAACCUUCAGAUUUGUCAGCCCAACAUGUGAGCAAAGGCUUUCAAAACCUCCAGGGUGAUGCGCAUGCUGGUGCACUUGGGAAAUGUUAUUUUGGCACCUGUCAUUCUCACCACGAUAUUUUAAAUACUUUUUGAAACAGAGCUUUAUUUUAUAAAAAAGCUAACCAGCAAGCAAGAAAAAAAAAAAAAAGAAACCAAAACAAAAACUCAAAUCAACAUGAAGGAAUGAGGCUUUCUUUUCCAUGGUGUGUUUCUUCCCAAGCUUUCUAAAUCUGCCAGGACAUCUGAAGGUCCCUGUCUCCUUCUGAGUCAUCAAGGGAAAUUAAGGGGCCGUUCUCCAGCCCUGCCAGGCCCUGAACCGACCCUGCAGGUCACACUUAUGCACCACCCCAUCAUCACUCACUCGAAGCCAGGGCACCGCCCCUUCAGUACUUACUGGGUCUUGAACACAAGACCUCAGAUGCACUAAGCAAGCCCUGAGCUACACUAGCAACCUUAGUUUUUCCAUACGGUCACCAGCUUCACUGUGAGCUUCUUAUUUUAAAUAGAGAGCUUCUUGGUCCAAGUACCCUGUGGCUCAGUGUAAUAAAUAAACUUACAUCAGCUGAACAUUUGUGUACUGAUUGUCUAUUAAAUGGAACCCUUGUGUACCUUGCAUUACACUGGAUGUCUUUUUAACAUCUGACUUUGCUAUCGCAUCAGAACCGCC
rnacentral:lncRNA from 1 species